rnacentral:lncRNA from 1 species
AACAGAUGGUUAUGUGUCUGUGAUUCACUGUCACAGUUCAGGUUAGAGCAGCCUGAAGGAUGGUUUAAUAUCUGUGCACAGGGUACAAUGACUAAGGGAUCGUAAGUAGCAGGGAAGACAGCAGGAAAACAGCAUGUUUGAAUGAUUUCCCGUUUUCACUUUCAAUGGGACUUCAGAGGCAAUUCCAAGAGAGACCUCAGAUGGAGGUGGUUUAUUCUGCUGUCAGUCAAGCACUUAGAGCUAAUUCAAGG